rnacentral:rRNA from 1 species
UACGAAGGGGGCUAGCGUUGUUCGGAAUUACUGGGCGUAAAGCGCGCGCAGGCGGUUUUCCAAGUCAGUGGUGAAAGCCCGGAGCUCAACUCCGGAACUGCCAUCGAAACUGUUAAACUUGAGGACGAGAGAGGUGAGUGGAAUUCCCAGUGUAGAGGUGAAAUUCGUAGAUAUUGGGAAGAACACCAGUGGCGAAGGCGGCUCACUGGCUCGUAUCUGACGCUCAGGCGCGAUAGCGUGGGGAUCAAACAGG